UACAGAGGGUGCAAGCGUUGUUCGGAAUUAUUGGGCGUAAAGCGCGUGUAGGCGGCUUUGCAAGUCGGGUGUGAAAUCCCUCAGCUUAACUGAGGAAGUGCGCCCGAAACUGCAGAGCUUGAGUACCGGAGAGGAUGGCGGAAUUCCCCAAGUAGAGGUGAGAUUCGUAGAUAUGGGGAGGAACACCGGUGGCGAAGGCGGCCAUCUGGACGGAUACUGACGUUGAGACGCGAAAGCGUGGGGAGCAAACAGG
rnacentral:rRNA from 1 species